rnacentral:tRNA from 1 species
GUCUAGGUAGUUUAAGUUUAAAAAAUUUUAAGUUGUGGUCUUGAAGAUGAUUUUUCCUUAGAUG